UGUUCGGCUCCCGUGAAGUCCUCAUUCCAGGUAGCUAUAAUUAAGCGUUCCACCUGGAAGUCACUACAUGCGUUCGGUGGCACAGCGCGGGGUACCAAGUUUUUGGGGCCAACCUUCCGAGGAACUCUUGACCUCAUUAGAGUGCACGGCUGCUUAAUGACGAGUGGUCCAAGUUUAAAGGCACGCACACUGAAUCGGGACAGCCUCACCUCGGCUGCUUGACUGCAGGUAGUACAAAGAGUUCAUGGUCGUAUUAAAAGCUCCAUGGCUGGAUAGAUAAGACAUCAGGUCAAGUUACAGUCAGUGGGAAGUGACAGCCGCCCACGGCAGUGGCGGCAGCCCCCGAGGAGAUAAAGCCCACUUAACGUAGUAGAUCGAACACGUGAUCCUUGUGCGUGUUCUUGAGACGUUUCGUGCAAGAUGAAGGUAAGUCGGUUUGGGGGAGAAAGCCUCCUCUAUAUAGAGAGCCUCUCACCUCCGAUUGCUUUCCAUCUUACGCCACUGGGAGCUCAGUUCAUACCAGGCUCAACUCACUCGACCACAGAUAGUGUGCAGGGAGAAAAGGGUAGAAGAAGAAUGGAAGGGGGAAGGAAAGUGGUGCUAAGUGGAGAGAGGAAGUACAGUAGCCGCCGCUUGAUCCCCAGACGGGGGCAGGUGAAGGCCUCCAUCGUCAUCGGCCUCGCUCAGUCUCUGGCUGCCUUGUUCUCUCUCGCCGUCGCCCGCCUCGCUUAGAUCACGGCUACUGUUUCCUGAUGAUCUAUAUAUAUAUAUAUAUCUACAUAUAUGAGGGUGGAAAACCUUGGCUCUUCUCUUUGUAGUCAGCUCGCUAAACCCUGUUUUUCGUUGGGGUUUGAUGUAAACAUUGUGAACACAGUGAGAAUGAAGUUUUUCGUACCAUCUUUUUGCAUCCA